UCUCAAGAGUGACAGGUAGCAGUGAAGAAAUCUCAAACACAGAAAACAGGAGCAGACAGAAUUUACAGUUGAAGAAAGGGGAUGAGGAAACAUGCGUGCAGUGGACGCACAGAGGGGAUAAAACCCUCUGCUAAACAGAGAGGACUCGGGAACCUCCCCUAAUUUAGGGUUGGUUGGUUUGAAAAACAGCUAGGACAGUUGUUGAUGUAACUUGUCAGACCUUGAAUUUGUCGAGCCAGUCCAUCAGCAGAGGGUGCUGCUGAGAGACAGCAGUUAGCAAGCCUUUGUUUUAAACUGUCUGGCUUUUGUGGAAGGUCAGGAAGAUACUUAUCCUGGAAUGUCUUUUUGCUGUGUAAAUCAAGAAUACUGGCUUCUCUGAGUAGAAAUGUCAGAAAAAGACACCUUAGGCUGCUACAGAGGACAAGGCUCAUGGUCUUGGUGGUUGAAGAGGAGAGUCCCAGAAACAAAGAACAGGAAGGAGUCCCUCCCCCUGGAACAGGCAACAGAUCUGGGCACAACAGUUGCAAGCACCAAGCAAGAUGGUGGUAAAGCCAGGACUUUCCAUAACAAAGAUGGCUGCCUGUCACAUGACUACACUUAACCAAGAUGGCAACUACAGUUCUACCUUUUCCAGCCCUUAGCAAAGAUGGCGAUGAGCCAUGUGUUGGUUAUAUCCCAGGAUGUAAUGUCAUGUGAUUAAAAAUUAC
rnacentral:sRNA from 1 species